UACGAAGGGUGCAAGCGUUGCUCGGAAUUAUUGGGCGUAAAGGGUAGGUAGGUGGUAAUAAAAGUCUGGGGUGAAAUCCCUGAGCUCAACUCAGGACGUGCCUUGGAAACUUUAUUACUACGAGUGCGGAGAGGUUCGCAGAAGUUCCCGGUGUAGCGGUGAAAUGCGUAGAGAUCGGGAGGAAUACCAGAGGCGAAGGCGGCGAACUGGACAGCAACUGACACUCAACUACGAAAGCGUGGGUAGCAAAC
rnacentral:rRNA from 1 species